rnacentral:rRNA from 1 species
AACGCUAGCUACAGGCUUAACACAUGCAAGUCGAGGGGCAGCACAGUGUAGCAAUACAUGGGUGGCGACCGGCGCACGGGUGCGUAACGCGUAUCCAACCUUCCCGUUACUCAGGGAUAGCCUUCCGAAAGGGAGAUUAAUACCUGAUGGUGUUCAAAUUCCGCAUGUUAUUUGAACUAAAGAUUUAUCGGUAACGGAUGGGGAUGCGUGACAUUAGGUAGAUGGCGGGGUAACGGCCCACCAUGCCUACGAUGUCUAGGGGUUCUGAGAGGAAGGUCCCCCACACUGGAACUGAGACACGGUCCAGACUCCUACGGGAGGCAGCAGUGAGGAAUAUUGGUCAAUGGCCGGAAGGCUGAACCAGCCAAGUAGCGUGCAGGAAGACGGCCCUAUGGGUUGUAAACUGCUUUUAUACAGGAAUAAAGUUAGCCACGUGUGGCUAUUUGUAGGUACUGUAUGAAUAAGGACCGGCUAAUUCCGUGCCAGCAGCCGCGGUAAUACGGAAGGUCCAGGCGUUAUCCGGAUUUAUUGGGUUUAAAGGGAGCGUAGGCCGUCUGUUAAGCGUGUUGUGAAAUGUAGAUGCUCAACAUCUGAACUGCAGCGCGAACUGGCAGACUUGAGUGUGCGCAACGUAGGCGGAAUUCGUGGUGUAGCGGUGAAAUGCUUAGAUAUCACGAAGAACUCCGAUUG